ACCAGUUCCCCCCCCAGUAUGAUUAGAGUUUUGCCAGUAAUUUGGAAUUUUACCCUGUGUAGAUUUAUUUUGAGAAGAUGCUGCUGCAACCAUCACAUGUUCUUUUUUUUUUUAUUUUUUUUUUUUUAUUAUUAUUAUUUAAGUAAUGUAAUUUUGUUUUGCUUCCUGCAAUUGGAGUUUCAGCGUCUGAGUGCCUAAGCCCUCAAGACUGUUUUUUAUUUUUAUUCGUCCUGCGCCUUUAAGAGGUGAUGAAGCAGGUGUCUUUUCCAUCUCACAUGUUCACACCCUGCGAGAUCAUUGAUUGUGUUUUAUAGACUGCAUAACAUAUUCAGGGACGCCUUUUAAAACUGCUUCUUUAAACAUUUCAAUUAAGUUUGUGCAUGGACCUUUAAGAUUAACUGUAGAUUUUCUGAGCCAGGUUUCUAGAUAUAAUGUCAUUUAGUUGGGACCAAACAUGGGAUUUGGUGAUGAUGGGGUUUGAUCUCAUACAGUCCAAUUCGGGGUUCUAUUCCCAGUGUGGACUCCUGAAGUUUUGUGGGGUAGCAGUUCCCCCUUGACUGUCAAAGUUCCUUCUGUGAUAUUAAUUAUUACGGGAUAUAUCCCCUUAGAGCACGUGUCAAACUGAAGGCCCGUGGGCCAAAUCCGGGCCACUGUGGGUUUGUGCGGCCCUCCAGAUUCUAAACUAAACACUAAGUGUGCUUAAAUAUUAUGCUAUCAAUCAAAUUAAUGCAGUUCUAUCCGUUUACUGCCAAAUUAUAUCAAUAAGUCGCUCCAGUUUCUUUUAGAAUUAUCAGGGAAAUUCACCAAAAUCAACAAAUCCCUGCACUUUUCUGAGCAAAUAAUUGGGAGUUUUUGCAGUUUUAAUAAAAAAUGUGAAACUUCCUUACUUGAACUAAACAGCUGCCUCAAACCUAAUUGAUUUCCCAUUAUAUGACCUGUACAGCGAGUAAUAAAAAGUCAAAUUUACCGUCAUAAAUAAGUGCAAAUAUUUCCAAAUUGCUACCACAAACACUUUUUAUUGCAAAAAAUCACAAAAAUUCAAUGAUAUUUAAGAAAUGUUUGAUAUUUUAACAAUUUGUGAAUGGCUUUUAUCAAUACAUUCUGGUACAACUGGCCCUUUAAGAGCAUUCAUGUUCUUGAUUUUGCCCAAAACGAAAAUAGUCAAGUCUGUAUUUUUAUGCUAGUGUGUUCAGAGCUGGUGGCAAUGACCCUUUUUAAAAAAAAAAUUAUUUUAUGUUAUUGUCCCUGUCAGGAACCCAAUAGUUUUCAUUUUGCCUGAGUUCUGUCUCUGCAGUCUGCCUGUUUUGUCUUCAGCCUCUUUUAGUGAAAACUCCUGCCUCUUUCUGUUUUUGUUUUUAAUUGAAAAAUUUUAUUAUCAUUCAGUGUUGCCCCUUUUAAUUAUUCUCAUUUGUGAUCUUGCUAUUGGAGCAUUUGCCUGCAUGUCAGCUAGAACAAUUUUAUCUAUUGUUUGCUCUUUUUUAUCUUAAUUUAAGAGGAUUCCAGUUCUAUGUUAUCCUGUUGCUGCUUUUGUUAUUUUAACAUUUGAUCAGCUGACCUAUUUCCCUUAUAGAGCUUCAUCCUGUCCUGUGGUGUGCAUGGCUUAAAAAUUAUUAGUUUUACCUGGCAGUUAUAUUGUUUGUAGGAGACUUGUUAAGCAAAGAAAUUAAUUAGAAAUCUUACAUGUAGAUGUUGUCAAAUUCAUCAAGGUGGAACACUUCUGUCUGAUUCCUGACAGAUGACACAACCCAAAGUUCGCUCCUCUGCAGAACAUUGUUUUUUUCUUGGGUUUUUACACUUUUUAAACAAAAAUUACCGUCCUAAAAUUAAACCAAAUCUAAAAUCCUCUAAUUCAAUAUGUAUUUAUGAAUUUAAUAAUCAUCAAUCAAUCAGUCAAACCUAGUUUAAAUUUCAGUCUAGAAAACGUUAUUUAUAUUCACAAUCAUCAGUUUGAAGUAGCCAGUUAUUUAAAUCAAAAUUUCCUUUAAUCUUUUAUUUUAUAGCAGUAGACAUCUUUUUAUAAUUAUUAUUUAUUAAAUAAUUAAUAACUUCAUCAGUUACUCAGUGCUUGAGUACAGUUUGUUUGUUCUCAUAAUCACACUAAUUUUCAUCAACCAAAGCGGCACAAACAGAAACAUAAAUAUUUAUCUGAUUUUCAGUUAGUCACAAAUUUUCAGUCUGCUUUUCUUGUUGUCCUAUGCUCAAAUUAUCAAUUUUAUUGAAGCUUCAUGAAAUUUCCAAUAUUAGUUAACAUAUUUAAUAUGUUAAUAUUAUCUUUUAGUUGUCAGGUUCCUGUUUUUAAGUAAUGCGCACAUUUUUAUUUAUUAUUUAUUCAUUCAUGUAUUUAUUUAUUGUUAUUAAAACUAUGUCAGACAUAUGUUAGAAUCCAGCAGUAACUGAACUACCUGCUGCUAGAGCACUUCACCCAUUUUAAUAAAAUGUAAAUUCAUUUAUAGAAUGAAAUUCUAAAUUAACUGUUCAGUUUAAAUGCAACAAAUACUUUAUGGUAUAUAAACACUUCAGUCUCAAUUAUUUUCAGCCCUUAAAACUGUUCAAUUUAAUUUCAAACUAGCAUGUAUUACCGGAAUAUUCCUUCUUUUCUUUUUUAAUAAAGGAGAGAAAGUUUUACAAAUCAUUAUUAGCUUAGACUCUGAUAAUUUUAAGUUGGUGAAAUUUAGUAGCAUAAAUUUUGUUAGAUCUUUUGCUGAAAUUUUAGUGAUUGUAGAUUUUCUUCUAGUUAUGCUAGUUAUUCCCUCUAUUUGCUCACCAACCAUAAACAAAGGCCCUAUACCCCCUUUUAAAUCAAAUUUCUUCCUGUCGACCUCGUCUGCCAUGCCUGGAGCAAGAAUCACCUCUUCUCUCCUCCCUGCCUUUUUUUUUUUUUUUUGUUAUAAUUUAUUACUCACACACACGGCGGAGGUCUCUGUUUUUAUUUUUUAUUUUUGUUCUUCCCCUUUAUUUUGAAAUUCAUCUUGCUCCGCCAGAUAAGUUAUUAGUCCGUCUAUUUGUUCCCCGAGAGUCACCCAAGGGUUACCCACGGUUUGUUUUGUCGUGUUUAACCGUGUUUAAAUUACAGUUCACCAGCACCAGAACACAUGAGAGCAAAAACGUCUGCAGCUCUCACACACCCACAGCUGACACACACGCACUCCGCUCGGCGGCGGAGCUGACAAACAGACAGAGAACACUUAAAAGGAUCCCCGCUUUGAGCCCUGGACGUUCUCUUUUAUUCUAACUCAUAUUCGUCUUCCCACAAAGAAAACGUCUUUAUUUUCUUCCCACACAGAAGAAAUCUCUUAUUCUCUUUUCAGUUAUACUUCGUCCCAGGCUCAGAUCGCGAUCAGCUUUGUCGCAAUCAACUUUUCGUCCCAGGCACAGGUCGCGAUCAACUUUAUCGCAAUCAACUUUUUUGUCCCAGGCACAGAUCGCGAUCAAUUCUAUCGCAAUCAACUUUUGUCCCAGGCCGUCCCAGGCACAGAUCGCGAUCAAUUCUAUCGCAAUCAACUUUUGUCCCAGGCUGUCCUAGGCACAGAUCACGAUCAACUCUAUCGUAAUCAACUUUUGUCCCAGGCUGUCCUAGGCACAGAUCACGAUCAACUCUAUCGUAAUCAACUUUUGUCCCAGGCUGUCCUAGGCACAGAUCACGAUCAACUCUAUCGUAAUCAACUUUUUCUUUUACUCUGCGGUCAGCUCUCUUGAGCUGGCUCGGAUUGGCUACGCGUUUAUUUUUGGAGCUUAGUCACUUCUCCGGGAUCUAAAAACCGACAAAAACCCAGCCAAAACCUUGGUCGCGUCCGACGCACUCACACACCUGUG